rnacentral:misc_RNA from 1 species
ACCAACUAACCUCCGACAGCACGUGGUAUUCCAGAUUUACCAUUGUCAGUCAGACUCGUUGUGAGAAGACGCAUAUUGUUUUCGUGGAACCAAUCUUUAUCAGUUAAUUAUUUACUAUUCAUUUUUGCAGGUUGACCACAGUGACAAUGUCAAAUUUCGAGCAAGAACAUAACGAGAUCUGUAAAUAUGACUAUGUGCGGUUUGCCCUCUGUGAUCUGAAUGGCAUGAGUCGUGGUCAAGUGAUAGCUGGUCGCUAUGCCGCCGAAUACAUGGACGCGGGGUUGGAUAUGUGCCAAGACACUUUGUUACUUGGUCCUAGAACAGAAGUAGUUCCAGUAUUUCAUGAGAAGAACUAUAAUGUUGGCAAUAUGUUGAUCUUUCCUGACCCUGACACACUGAGGUCCAUUCCCUGGGCUCCGGACGGAGUGAAGGUUGCUGAAGUCUUGUGUGAGUCUCGAUGGAAGAAAGACAACUCUCCACAAGAUGCGUGCCCUCGGUAUGUAGCAAGACAGCAGCUUCAGAGGUUGGGUGAUCUUGGAUUUGAUUUGUAUUCCGGUCAUGAGAUUGAAUUCAAACUCCUUGACAAUAACACAAUGGAGCCAGUGUUUGCAGGAAGAGAUGUGUACAGCAACAGGGUAUUUAACAAACAUAGCAAAUUGUUAUUCCACUUUGAUAGGCAUUUUCAAGAAUCCAAGAUAGAUGUUGAUAGGUAUUAUGUUGAAAUGGGACCUGGGCUUUUUGAAGCUGUGACAAAACCCAAAUAUGGAAUCGAGAGCCCGGAUAUGGCUUUUAAUCUGAAGGAAGGUCUCUUGGAAAUGGCAGAUUUGGAGGGUUUUAAAAUCACCUUCAUGUCCCAACAUUCCUAUGAUCAGAUGGGGAUCGCCACACAUUUCAAUUUUUCGCUAUGGAAUAGAUCUGGUGAAAGCAUAUUUUAUGACGAAUGUUCUCCAGACAAACUGUCUACAGUUGCAAAACAAUGGAUUGCUGGUAUCCUGAAACACAGUAAAGCUCUCUGUGCCUUUGCAAACCCUACUGUCAACUGCUAUAGGAACCAGGGUAAAUGUGCCUUUCCGUCACCUAUCUAUUGGGGAAUAGAGGACCGAUAUGCAUGCAUUCGCGCAAAAAACGAUGGACCAUCAAGAACAUACCUUGAGAACAGACUACCAGGCGGAAAGAGCAAUCUGUAUCUCGUAGUGGCGUCUACCAUUGCUGCUGGACUGGACGGCGUCAUUAAAAAGAUGGAGUGCCCACCCCCGGACAAAACAGAGGACGUCGAAUCUCUCCCGCGUUCCCUGGCAGAAGCUCUGGAUGAGCUGGAAAAGGAUGAGGAUCUAUGUAAUGCCUUAGGGAAGGAACUGGUGACAUGGUUUGUCAAGUGCAAGAGAGAUAUGGAGGUCGCUAAGUACAAAUUGGUUGAGACAGACGAGCAACGCUUUGCUAUGGAAACAGUGGCGUAUUUCUAAUAUGACAACAUGUUGGGCUUGUCAACAAUGUAUGAUCGUUCAGCACUUUAUUUCUGAUACUUUAUUUUGAUUGGCUUACCACAUCCACGUGCCUCUGAUGAGAACAGCCUAGUUAAUGAAGCAAAUAUUUAUGGUAAGGUGCUUCCUAUCCAAUUUAGGUUGAAAAUAAGGAUAUCAGCAAAUGUGGGUUACAAAUUGCGGAGAACUUGUGGUGAUCUGCGACAGUGUGGACACAAAACGCCUGAUGACUCGAACCUUUUUUAAAUAGAACAAUUUCCAAGUUUGGGAUGGUCUUGUAUACUUCCAUGGCUGAAUGUAUAGAGGUUGGUCUUCAUCAUUAAUGAACUGUUUUAUAUAUGUUUAUGAAAAGACACCAAACAAAAUGAGAAAUGAAGUACAUAAAUGAGUGAAGCAGUCGGAAAAUGUAAAGUUUGGCUACAUAUAUUGUUACACAGUGGUUUUUGCCUGGCAAUAUGAUCUCCGUUAUCUGUCUUAAGAUACACCAUCCCAAGGCCCCUCUGCAUAAGGACCAGCACUGAGCCUGUUAAUGGAAUGCCAUUUUGUAACUUGAAACUCCACAAUCUCUGCUGAGAUCCGAGCACAUUCUGACCACUGGAGCAUAUAGUAUACAGCCUUUUCUUUUACUUCACUGCUAGUGGUUAUAUUUCUCUGCGAUUUCACCACCUCCGUGGUCUAGUGGAUAGAGCGCGCGUCUUCCCAGAGAGCGGAAGGUCCCCACGUCAUACCAA